rnacentral:rRNA from 1 species
UACGUAGGGUGCAAGCGUUGUCCGGAAUUAUUGGGCGUAAAGGGCUCGUAGGCGGUUUGUCGCGUCGGGUGUGAAAUCCACUGGCUUAACUGGUGGCUUGCUUUCGAUACGGGCAGACUGGAGGUAUGCAGGGGAGAACGGAAUUCCUGGUGUAGCGGUGAAAUGCGCAGAUAUCAGGAGGAACACCGGUGGCGAAGGCGGUUCUCUGGGCAUGUCCUGACGCUGAGGAGCGAAAGUGUGGGGAGCGAACAGG